rnacentral:rRNA from 1 species
UACGUAGGGUGCGAGCGUUGUCCGGAAUUACUGGGCGUAAAGGGGACGUAGGCGGCCAACUAAGUCCGACGUGAAAUCCCAAGGCUUAACCUUGGAACUGCGUCGGAUACUGGAUGGCUUGAAUUCGGGAGAGGGAUGCAGAAUUCCAGGUGUAGCGGUGAAAUGCGUAGAUAUUGGGAAGAACACCGGUGGCGAAGGCGGCGACCUGGUCCUUUUACUGACGCUGAGGCGCGAAAGCGUGGGGAGCAAACAGG